CAGAACGAACGCUGGCGGCGUGCUUAACACAUGCAAGUCGAACGCGAAAGGGACUUCGGUCCUGAGUAAAGUGGCGCACGGGUGAGUAACGCGUAGAUAACCUGUCUUCAUGUCUGGAAUAAUACGCCGAAAGGGGUACUAAUACCGGAUAUUCUUGCUUUUCAUAAGUUAUGCAAGCAAAGGUGGCCUCUGCAUAUGCUACUGCAUGAAGAGGGGUCUGCGUACCAUUAGCUAGUAGGUGGGGUAAUGGCCUACCUAGGCGACGAUGGUUAGCGGGUCUGAGAGGAUGAUCCGCCACACUGGCACUGGAACACGGGCCAGACUCCUACGGGAGGCAGCAGUGAGGAAUAUUGCGCAAUGGGGGAAACCCUGACGCAGCGACGCCGCGUGAAGUGAGGAAGGCCUUCGGGUCGUAAAGCUCUGUCAAGAGGAAAGAAGUGUACAAUGGCUAAUACCUGUUGUAUUUGACGGUACCUCUAAAGGAAGCACCGGCUAACUCCGUGCCAGCCGCUGC
rnacentral:rRNA from 1 species